rnacentral:rRNA from 1 species
UGGGGAGCGAACCGGAUUAGAUACCCGGGUAGUCCACGCCGUAAACGAUGGAUACUAGCUGUUGGAGGUAUCGACCCCUUCAGUAGCGAAGCUAACGCGUUAAGUAUCCCGCCUGUGGAGUACGGUCGCAAGACUAAAACAUAAAGGAAUUGACGGGGACCCGCACAAGCGGUGGAUCGUGUUCUUUAAUUCGAUGAUAAACGAAGAACCUUACCAGGGUUUGACAUCCUUGGAAUUUCUGUGAAAGCAGAGAGUGCUUUAUUGAGCCAAGUGACAGGUGAUGCAUGGCCGUCGUCAGCUCGUGUCGUGAGAUGUUUGGUUAAGUCCAUCAACGAGCGCAACCCUUGUGAAUAGUUGUAUUUUUCUAUUCAGACUGCCCCGGUAACGGGGAGGAAGGAGGGGAUGAUGUCAGGUCAGUAUUUCCCUUACACCCUGGGCUAGAAACACGAUACAAUGGUUAGUACAAUGCGCANGCGAAGCCGCGAGGUGGAGCAAAUCGCAUCAAAGCUAAUCUCAGUUCGGAUAAGAGGCUGAAACUCGCCUCUUUGAAGUCGGAAUCGCUAGUAAUCGCAGAUCAGCAAGCUGCGGUGAAUACGUUCCCGGGUCUUGUACACACCGCCCGUCAAACCAUGAAAGUGACCAACACCCGAAGUCCGAUUCGUCGGCCUAAGGUGGGGGGCAUGAUUGGGGUUA